CCUACGGGGGGCUGCAGUGGGGAAUAUUGCACAAUGGAGGGAACUCUGAUGCAGCGACGCCGCGUGAGUGAAGAAGGUCUUCGGAUCGUAAAACUCUGUCCUUGGUGACGAAAAAAAUGACGGUAGCCAAGGAGGAAGCCCCGGCUAACUACGUGCCAGCAGCCGCGGUAAUACGUAGGGGGCGAGCGUUGUCCGGAUUUACUGGGCGUAAAGGGUGAGUAGGCGGUUAUAUAUGUCAGGUGUAAAAAGCUAUGGCUUAACCAUAGUAAGCACUUGAAACUGUAUGACUUGAGUGCAGGAGAGGUAAGCGGAAUUCCUAGUGUAGCGGUGAAAUGCGUAGAUAUUAGGAGGAACACCGGUGGCGAAGGCGGCUUACUGGACUGUAACUGACGCUGAGUCACGAAAGCGUGGGUAGCAAACAGGAUUAGAUACCCCGGUAGUC
rnacentral:rRNA from 1 species